CCCUUUGUAUUCGUACGAAGGUGUCCUAGUGGCGAACGGGUGAGUAACGCGUUGGUGACCUACCCCAAAGUCUGGGAUAACCCCGCGAAAGUGGGGCUAAUACCGGAUGUGGUCAUCGGAUUUAGAAACCGAUGUCUAAAGGAUUUAUUCGCUUUGGGAGGGGCCUGCGUCCCAUCAGCUAGUUGGUAGGGUAAUGGCCUACCAAGGCUACGACGGGUAGGGGACCUGAGAGGGUGACCCCCCACAAUGGAACUGAAACACGGUCCAU
rnacentral:rRNA from 1 species